UACGUAGGGGGCAAGCGUUGUCCGGAUUUAUUGGGCGUAAAGAGCGUGUAGGCGGUUGGGUAGGUCCGUUGUGAAAACUCGAGGCUCAACCUCGAGACGCCGAUGGAAACCCCCCAGCUAGAGUCCGGAAGAGGAGAGUGGAAUUCCUGGUGUAGCGGUGAAAUGCGCAGAUAUCAGGAGGAACACCGGUGGUGUAGACGGCUUUCUGGACCGUAACUGACGCUGAAACACGAAAGCGUGGGUAGCAAACAGG
rnacentral:rRNA from 1 species